rnacentral:rRNA from 1 species
UACGUAGGGUCCGAGCGUUGUCCGGAGUUACUGGGCGUAAAGCGUGCGCAGGCGGUUUCUUAAGUCAGAUGUGAAAGCCCCGGGCUUAACCUGGGAACUGCGUUUGAAACUGGGAGACUUGAGUGUGGCAGAGGGGGGUGGAAUUCCACGUGUAGCAGUGAAAUGCGUAGAUAUGUGGAGGAACACCGAUGGCGAAGGCAGCCCCCUGGGUCAACACUGACGCUCAUGCACGAAAGCGUGGGGAGCAAACAGG